CUUACGGUUGAUUGAUGGCGCCGCCAGUCGUCAGGAAGCAGCCGCGGCGUGAAUUACGUCGGUCCCGUGUAGGAGUUUGUUCUUCAUAUUUCACAAUGCCUGCCGCGAGGGCUAAGAGACAACGUCGAGAGUGCACUAUACUUGCCGAGCUUGCACGAAAACAGAAGUUGAAGGAAGCAAGAAAGCAGGCGAAAGCCAAGAAACGCCAAGCAGACAUGCGUAAAGCAGCUCGGGAAGGUCGACAUGAUAUCAGUCUCGUCUACAACAAUGCUGCUGGAGUACCUGUUGCUGUUUCUCUCGACCAUUUCAUGGCAGGAAAACAUUCACACAAACCAGAAAAUUACCAGUUACGACACGACAACCACUUGACAUUUGUACUGGAUGCCUUGGCACGUGAUGAAUUUUUCAUGGAUGUUACCUUAACAGCUGAAGGACACUCUCUUAAGGCUCAUAAGUCCGUGUUAUCAGCUGUCAGCCCAUAUUUUCGAGGAGUUUUGCGAGAUAAUCCAUGUCAGCAUCCCGUCAUUAUCAUGCCUCGAGAUGUGCGCUUUGAAGAACUUUCCAGUAUUGUUAAUUAUAUAUACAAAGGGGAAACUACAGUGGCAGCAGAAGAUUUAAUUUCAUUUAUGAAAACAGCAAAGAUACUGCAGAUCUCGGGUUUAGCACAACACGAUUUCUCAGCCAAUGUAAAUCCUCACGUUGACUGUUCAGCGGCAGGAGAUGCUCGAUCUUCUUCUUCUGCCUCUUCUAAUCUUCCUUCAGUAUCUGGAACUUCAAGAUUGGUUACAACAACAACAACCGAUCAAAUGGAAACCCCACCUGCAAGACCCAAAUCAAGAGAGAGCAUGAUCAGUCUGACAGACUGUAUAGAUGUAGACAUGCCAUAUGUAAAAGAGGAAGUUGAGAAUGCGAAUGAAGAAAAUAAACAAAUUUUUCGAGAAUCUUCUUUGCAUACUCCUGAAGUUGUAGGGAAUGGUGAUCAAGAAUUGCAACAGAGCUCAUCAGCAUUGUCACCGUCACAUGAUGCAGGCCUUGAACAACCAGUAGUUUCUACCAGUUCAACUCCUCCUUCCCCAUUACCCAUAAAUUCUGACUCGGAAACAUGUAUAGAUUCAUAAGGAAACCUUACCACAGAAGAUCUACAUCCUUUUAUAUGUCCACAUUGUCAAGAGCAUCACAAAUAGGGAAACUAUGAUUGCCCAUUUGAGUCAGGCGUCCCACUGAAACGGAAAGGUCUAACUCAGCCUUGUGAAUGUCUACCCCUCUCUGACCGACCUGUAAAACUCCUCUACUACUGAUGGUGAAAAGGAAGACAGUAAGGAAUGUAAUGGAAAAAGGAGUAGUGAGGUAAUGAGUAGUGAUAGAAAACAGGAGGUUCAAGGAGGAACUGAGGUAGAGAGGUGGGAGAGAAUAGAAAACGAGGACCGAACGGGAAGAGGGAGUCAGAUGGAAGAGAAUAGAAAAUGGGGGAUUAAAGUAGAGAAGGAAAGGGGAGAUGAGAGAAGGAAGGAGUAGGAGGAUAAAUAUAUAGCAAUACUUGUUACUAAUGCUGCUAGCCUCCUGUCAUUUUACAAUCAUUUUAAACACCUGAAUAGUGCAGACAGGAAAACGCUGCUUUACUGAAUUUACUAAAUUAAUUCCCGAGAGUGGACACCUCACGGGGUGGGAGGAGUGUGAUCACACCCUACUCUCGCUUGCCUCUUCAUCGCUCGCCCCUUUCUUCCUUACCCCUCGCUACACGUCUUGUCUCUAAUAUGAUCUUACCCGAGACAACAGUGCUCAUUACUACUAUCUCUAUUCAUGAAACAUAAAGAAGGUCUGGAGAACUCGCUCAGAUGUGUCCUCUGCUACCUGGUGGUGUGUACAAUAAUGGCGUGGCGUCUCCCUACCUCUCACGGAUCCUAAUUCGUCUUUAUCGACUUUGGGAUAUUGGCCAUGUAUUUACUGUUUGUUUAAUUAAAUUAAAUCCUGAAGAAUACUUUAUCAUUCGUAGUUUUGUAUUCUCGCAAGAUAGAUAUGGGAUGUAAAUAGCGGAUUUGCUUAUGUGGCACCAUUCCAUUUUCUCUGGAAUGUUACUAAAUCUGAUCUGUGAUAAAAGCUAUUAAGUGAUAUUAGUAGGUUCCUGGCAUAGGAAUUUUUACUUGGUAUGCCAGGUGUUAGUAAAUUUGGUAUCAAAAUUUCUGACACUGCUGAAGUCCAAAGGAUAAAACUUGUACGAUUGUCCCUUUUCUGGGGAGGGCUCACUCAUUAGGUCCCCGAGCUAAUCGCUGGUCCAGCCAUGCCGAGGGAAGAUGCACAGUCUCUUGAGACCCACUAUUGUCUUCUGGCACCAAGGACCAGAAUCUGGCUCUGAAAUCAGAGGAUCUUCAGAGAUCAUAUAGCAAUCCCAAAACCAAGAAGAAAACAUCGGAAAGCAUUAGCAAAACAAAACGAGCAACUACAUAAAGACAAUAAGGUACCAAAGGGUACCGAGGUAAAUGAUCAUUGCUCUGAUGUAGACUACACCGUGCUGAAUCUAACCACCACCAGGCAGCACAGUCAAUCUGGGUCCCCAUCAACUUGCUUCCUCCCUUGCCUGGUAACGGCUUCAGGAAGCACAGAACUUAUGAUGUAGCCCAUCCUCGGCCUCAGUUAAGCCAAGUGAUGUUGGUUAUUCUUGAAACAUUAGUUCUACAGGGGAGGCCAUUGCUUUGUUAUUGUUACCUUUCUAUUUCAUGAUGCCUACAUUGCAAAACCUUAGCUUUGUAUUUCACUCUUGACAGACCAGGCUUCUCUAUCUUGGUAGUCGACUACUGUUUUUCCCUGGCCCACCAAAUAUACCUACUCUGGGGGUAGGGGUUAAAUUUCCUUCUCGAUGAGCUUUCUUCAAAAGUCAUAUUGCUUCAUGGGUAGAGCAUGAAACUAUCCACUAUGAGGCCUAUUGAUGUGUAAUAAUUAACUCUGUGCUGUCUAACAUACUGUCAAUCAUGGUUGAUCCUUCUCCUUUGCAUCUUGCUUUGCAUUUUACCUAGUCAAUUUGGUUGCACAAGUUCUUGGCCAGGUCUGCCUUGGCUUUUCCUUGCCUGCUUAGAAUACCUGAUUGUCAUUGUGAUGGUUCAAGUAGCUAGUUUUCCUUGCCCCUGUGGGUAUUUCCUAUAGCUUACAUUAUUGAUCGGGUUGUAUCAUUCUCCGCUGAUUUCACAUCUGAUACUGCUGUUUGUAGUUUCUUAGGAUGUAUGUAUUUUUUAUGUUGAUUUCAUUUAUAAUUUGUUUCAUUUUGCUUUUGUCAUUCAGCCUUUUCUGUGUAGAACUACUUCCAUUCUCAGAUCUGUGUAGUUUGUUGGCACUGGACUUCUGUUUUGGCCAUGUUACCAUCUAAGGUGGCAGCCUUAAUAAGUUAGUACAGUUUUACAGAAUUGUGCUUUGUGGGUACUGGCUAUUGUGGCCUAUUUGCAGCAGAUGACACUGCUGCUUAUCCCACGAUGUUCUGUGAGGAGGAACAGUGUUCUGUGGUGGCGUCUGGUCAACCAGCGAGACAUCGGGUACAGGUGUCUUGGGUGUGGAGAACUAUCUAGACACAAAUGUUUGAGCACAUAUUGUUGUAGUCGUUGAUGUUGGAGCAUGCAGAUACGUUGAUGAAUAAGCGGUAAAAGAACAGGCAGGAUAUACUGCUAAGCAGGAGAUUACCGUAACACAAGACUGUAUAGGUAGUUGUGGGAUUUAUUGAUAGGAAAUGGAGUUAAAUUCGUAGAAAAAUGCAGUUAAAUAAAAUACUGUAAUUAUAGAAAACUUCACCUAAGUAGUGAAAAUUUCAGUAAAUCAAUGUUUUACUUAAGUUGAAACUUGGUAUAAAAUGGAAGGCAACUUAUUUCUGGUUUUAAUACAGAAAUUAAGUGUUUUAUAUUUUUGGUAAAUGUUAAUAUAGUAUAGUGCACUUUAUACUGAUACAGGAUAAUAAAAUUUGAGUACUAUACUUGAUGACCUCGUGUAUAUACACAGUGUAAGAUAAAGAUUGUGUUUAGUUAGUUAUUUUACAUUCAUAAAAUGUAUAAAUUUCUUAACACAUGCAUUGUAAUUUUAUAUUCUUUUUAAAUUGGGCUCCAUAGUCCCAUAUUCCCAAAUCUAUUGCCAGAAGCACACUAGCAGAAUUGUCAGUAGCAUGUGCCAAAUUAUAGCUAUCAUUUUUUGUAGCCUUGAGACAUUUAGACAGUCAUCAGGGCUGAUAGAAUUGAGUUCAAUUUGUCGGAGGAAUAAGUAUUAUGUAGGUUAGGUUUAUACUAUUAGAAUUAGAUGCUCUUUUGUUUCAAUUACCUUAUAUUUAUGGCAUGUACAUAGCAUCUAUUCUGGUGAGGAGGCUCAUUUUUACAAUAAAUAUGCAGUAAA
rnacentral:misc_RNA from 1 species